rnacentral:tRNA from 1 species
CUUACUUUAGUUUAGUUAGAAUAAUGGUUUUGGGGACCUUAGGGCUUCGAAGGAAGAAGUUAGA